rnacentral:rRNA from 1 species
GACGAGCCACACAAACGUUAUUCGGAAUUACUGGGCUUAAAGGGUGCGUAGGCGGCGCGGAAAGUUGGGUGUGAAAUCCCUCGGCUCAACCGAGGAAUGGCGCUCAAAACUACCGUGCUCGAGGGAGAUAGAGGAGUGCGGAACUUACGGUGGAGCGGUGAAAUGCGUUGAUAUCGUAGGGAACACCGGUGGCGAAAGCGGCACUCUGGAUCUCUUCUGACGCUGAUGCACGAAAGCUAGGGUAGCGAACGGG